rnacentral:rRNA from 1 species
ACGAGAAUGUGUAGCAAUACACAUGUAAAGUGGCGUAUGGCCGAGGAUUACAUGGGUAACCUACCCUCGAGUGGGGAAUAACCAGCCGAAAGGUUGGCUAAUACCGCGUACGCUUCCGGGACUGCGGUCUCGGAAGGAAAGCGAUACCGUGGGUAUCGCGCUCUUGGAUGGGCUCAUGCCCUAUCAGCUUGUUGGCGAGGUAACGGCUCACCAAGGCUUCGACGGGUAGCUGAUCUGAGAGGAUGAUCAGCCACACUGGCACUGCGACACGGGCCAGACUCCUACGGGAGGCAGCAGUGGG